rnacentral:rRNA from 1 species
UGGGGAAUAUUGGACAAUGGGGGCAACCCUGAUCCAGCCAUGCCGCGUGAGUGAUGAAGGCCCUAGGGUUGUAAAGCUCUUUUGUGCGGGAAGAUAAUGACGGUACCGCAAGAAUAAGCCCCGGCUAACUUCGUGCCAGCAGCCGCGGUAAUACGAAGGGGGCUAGCGUUGCUCGGAAUCACUGGGCGUAAAGGGUGCGUAGGCGGGUUUCUAAGUCAGAGGUGAAAGCCUGGAGCUCAACUCCAGAACUGCCUUUGAUACUGGAAGUCUUGAGUAUAGCAGAGAUGAGUGGAACUGCGAGUGUAGAGGUGAAAUUCGUAGAUAUUCGCAAGAACACCAGUGGCGAAGGCGGCUCACUGGGCCAUUACUGACGCUGAGGCACGAAAGCGUGGGGAGCAAAACAGGAUUAGAUACCCUGGUAGUCCACGCCGUAAACGAUGAAUGCCAGCCGUUAGUGGGUUUUACUCACUAGUGGCGCAGCUAACGCUUUAAGCAUUCCGCCUGGGGAGUACGGUCGCAAGAUUAAAACUCAAAGGAAUUGACGGGGUCAUAGCUGUUUCCU